CUGAGAGGAAGGUCCCCCACAUUGGAACUGAGACACGGUCCAAACUCCUACGGGAGGCAGCAGUGAGUAAUAUUGGUCAAUGGGCGGGAGCCUGAACCAGCCAAGUAGGGUGAAGGAAGACUCCCCUAUGGGUGUAAACUUAUUUUAUGAAGGAAUAAAACGGGCCACGUGUGGCCUUUUGCAUGUACCUUAUGAAUAAGGAUCG
rnacentral:rRNA from 1 species